rnacentral:rRNA from 1 species
AUUGAACGCUGGCGGCAGGCCUAACACAUGCAAGUCGAGCGGAUGAAGGGAGCUUGCUCCUGGUUUCAGAGGCGGACGGGUGUGUAAUGCCCAGGAAUCUGCCUGGUAGUGGGGGAUAACGUCUGGAAACGGGCGUUACUACUGCAUCCGUCCUGCGGGUGCAAGUGGGGGAUCUUCGGAACUCACGCUCUCAGAUGCGCCUAGGUCGGAUUAGCUAGUUGGUGGGGUAAAGGCCUACCACGGCGAAGAUCCGCAACUGGUCUGAGCGGAGGAUCAGUCACACUGGAACGGGGACACGGUCCAGACUCCUACGGGAGGCAGCAGUGGGGAAUAUUGGACAAUGGGCGAAAGCCUGAUCCAGCCAGGCCGCGUGUGUGAAGAAGGUCUUCGGAUUUUAAAGCACGUUAAGUUGGGAGAAAGGGCAGUAAGUUAAUACCUUGCUGUUGUGACGUUACCAACAGAAUAAGCACCGGCUAACUUCGUG